rnacentral:misc_RNA from 1 species
AAAAAAGCAGUCCUCUGCUUGGAGAUUCUCUAGGUGCUUGUAAAGAUGGAUAUCCUUGCACUUAAUUAUCUUGGCAACAAUACCAAGUUGCCUCCGGAUUCCCACUUCAUCAAGCCGGAAAUUAUGCCUGGCCUUCUUCAUGAAGCCCACAAAGCACCAAAAGGCUUCAAAAUCCUCCUCCAUCACUGCAAUAAUUGGAGAAAGCAAAUCACUCAUUCCCUGACAGUAACCAAUCUCAGGAUCAUAUAGUGCAUAGGCCUCAAGGAUAGCCACCAGGCGAGUAGCAUGAAAGAUCCUGCAAGGCUCCAAGUGAUCAUAAUCCUUCAGACCAACAUUCUCAGCCAAUCGCCGUGCCUUCAGCUCUGACAUUGCAGCCUGAGUUGGAGAGUACAUGAUCCAUUCAGCAUUUGCCCGCACGGCAUCAACCCGAAUGAUUCUCUGCCAUGUGGCAAAAUUUUCGUCUUUUUGGAAAUCACUUUCUGCAUCAGGAUGGGAAUUCUCCAGUGCAGGCACGCUAAGAUCCUUUUCUUUGAUAGUUUCAGUUGCAAUGAAAAGUUCCAUGUUUUCAGGUUCUUCAGAUGAGUCAGAGUCCGUAGAAUCAGUGUUACCAGCAAAGACUUCUUCACAGGUGAGCACACUCCUGUCACAAUCUUCCAAUAUCAAGUCAGAUCUCUGAAGAGUUUGAUCACAGUUAUCUGAACCCUCAGCAGCUAAGCUGCAUCCCUCAGUGAAAGAUGACUUUAUAGCACUAACAUCAUCUUCAAAUUCAGGAGAAUCAAUAACUUGAUUAAACUCUCCGCUGUUCUCAUUGUUGCUGGUUACAGUAGUUUCCUUCAACUUCAAGCUCUUCUCUCUUUGUUUAAGAUUUUGCUGGCACCGUUUCUGCAGAUUCUCAUAUUCUUUCCUCUUCUGAGCUCGAGUAUGAUCUCUUUCUUCCUUGGAACUAUUCACAUCAUAGACUCCAAGGAGAAACGGCCAAACUUCUGCUCUAAUACUUGGAUCAACACCUCCACUGCGGGCUUUCUUUAAAAACUUAACACCACCAUCAUAGAGUUUUCCAUCAGCUGUAAAUAAACUCUUCCAUUGCUUUGGGAGAAGUGCGAGUUUUCUUCUUCUAAAUGACCAAGGUGAUUUAUGACCACCCC